UGUGAGAGAGUUAAAGAGGCUCGUAUGCACGGGAUACAGACUUUGGUCUGUGUUUCGACUUCUUGCGGAGUUGUUGAAUUGGGCUCUUCUCACAUGAUCAACGAAGACUGGAGCCUGGUGCAAUUGUGCAAAUCCCUUUUCGGUGCAGACGUCGCCUGCUUGAUCUCCAAGCAGCUCAGCCACGAAUCUCAGCUUCAAAUUCCUGACCGAGGUGCUUCUUUCCUUGAUAUUGGAAUGUUUUCAUGUGCUCAAAUGGAGACAUUUCCAGAGAAGCAAAACGAAGGCGACAAAAAGAGAGAUGCUUCUGCUUUUGGUCAAGGCCGGUCGUCUUCUGACUCUGGGCCUUCUGAUUCUGAUGUCAAUUUGGCUGCUGGAAAUACUAACGGCCGGUUCAAGAAAAGAGGAAGAAAACCAAAUGGCAAAGAAUUGCCUCUAAACCAUGUCGAAGCGGAGAGGCAGCGGAGAAAGAGACUUAAUCACCGAUUUUAUGCACUCCGAUCUGUGGUUCCUAACGUGUCCAAGAUGGAUAAAGCAUCUCUACUUGCAGAUGCAGUCACUUAUAUAGAGGAGCUCAAGGCCAAAGUUGAUGAAUUGGAGGCCAAACUGCAAGCAGUGUCUAAGCAAUCCAAGAUUACUAGUACAAUCAUCUAUGACAAUCAAUCAACCAAUUACAUG
rnacentral:misc_RNA from 1 species